UCGAGUCACUUAGCAUCUUAACCAAUGCAGGCACUAUACCGGCUCUAACCGCUCUGCCUUUGUUUCCCUGAUAAAUGCAGAGGUUGGACAAUGCGGUCGCUGCAUCUUUCUUCCCUCUAAGAGUCCCAUUCUCGAGCAGGUCAUCAAGGAAAAAAGACUAUUCUAAUUUUAAGCAUUCACUUCACAUGUUGUUUUCUCGAUAUUCAUAUUGGCUUCUUUGUGUUCCUUUUUGGCAGAAGGAACAGCUGUUGUAUAUCUGCAUGGAACUUGUCCUGUAAUGAGAUCUACUUGGUUGCUUGCUACCAAGUCGUUUGUUUACUCCUUUAGAGAUGAGUCCGUAUGAUCAGCCAAUUAAUUCAUUCAUCAAAUCAAGGAGCAAAC
rnacentral:lncRNA from 1 species